rnacentral:lncRNA from 1 species
GCCAUCCAUGACGAGUUGUUCGUAGUCGCUAGCGUUCACCUUCUUGCCAGACACCCCGAGCACCGGUACCGUGGUAGCGAUGCAGUCCUCCAAUAAGUAGCUGCCUGCUGACUCGUCGGAACGCCCAUCGGCAGCACGAACAUAGGUGUUGUUGUGGCACACCGUCUCCACGAGCCCUGCGCCUUGCGGCGGCGGCUUGGUGCAGUUGUAGAAGAUGAGGUUCUGAUUGGCGGGACUAUUCGAGAGCGGAGGAGCAAGUACGGGGAUGUUGUCGGCCGUCGGGAUUCGGCACCCACCGGUGCUAGAGCUAGUAUUGAAAUAUGGAUGCCAGUAUCUACGCGGAGCGAUGUGCAAGGAGCGGUUGUCGUAAAAUAUGCUGAGGAUCUGCAGACUGAUAUCGCUCUGAGAGUAUUCGAGGUAUAGGGAGCUAUUGUUAUAGCAAUGGACCUUGAACCCAAUCCCGAUAUCGCCGCAGCUGGUCUGAUUAUCCAGGAUGAGCCCAAACGGGAAGGAGACGGUCACGUUGCCACAUAGCACGGGCGGACAGUGCUCUCCUCCUGGCCCAGGUGCUGCUGCCACAGGCUGUAUCAUCAGUGGUAAGGACGACAAGGCCACCCACACCGACGACGAGACUAGGAAGAGCAGCAGCGAGGAUGGAACCAGCAGAGCCAUGGCGGAAAGCUUCGACGACGGCAUUAGCAGGACGAACAGAACAGGAACAGGUGUGGCUGAGUAAAUAGUGAAGCUGAGUCCGCGCGUCGUGUGUGCCUGCGUAGUAGACCUCGGAAGACUUUGACUGGGGCAUUCGGGCCGUCGUCGUCAUCGGUGCACGGAAUUCCGAGGUGCCCGAUGGGCGGGGCAAGGCGACGACGACGACUGACGUGACCGUGGACACGCGCUCCCACAGUAUAAGCAGGCACGCUCCUGCCGCCCGGCCAACGAGCUCCUCUCACUUUUGCCGGCCAAAGUGAGACUAGCUAGGCAGACAUUUGGAAAUGGUCGUCGCAUUCACAAUGCUCUAUAUAGAUAUGAUUUUGGCUUGUUUGCAAAAGCUACCAAAGUAACAACAGCCUAGCUAGAGUACGUGUUUUUUUUAACGGAACUCAUAUACUCCUGAUUUUGCACGGUUAAUUUAUGUCGAUGCGUGGUUAUUCCACAAACAAAACCUAACUCUAUUUGAGCGAUCGUUCAUCGUUCACUCGAUUUGGAUUUGGUGAAUGAUUAGACCGCGACUUCACUGCCCGCGCGCUUUUUUAUUGCUGUGACGUCACUGCUCACACAGGCUAUAAAAAGCAAAAUAUUUAUUUUAAAAUAUUAUAACUUCUAAACUGUGUAUUUAUUUUUAUUCCGUCUACAUCAGACGCGACGAGACGAACAAACUAGACGUCAUUCGUAUAUUCAAAGAAUAUUUUCUAGUAGCAAUUUAUAUGUAUUAACUUAUAAUAUAUAAGUUAUAACUUACAACUUCAUGUGCACGGCGGUGAUGGUGACGGCUGGCUGGAGCCGGGCACAGGCAGCGGCCUGGUGGAGUAGGGUGUGGGCACUGGCAAGGUAGCAGGGGGCGGGCUUCGUGUACCAGAACGGUGGCGUAGGAGAGGUCGCCGAUGUAUAGCACUAUGUCGCGCGAAAGGAGAAUGCUCAUUGGCGUGGCGGAGAGAAAAUGCAUUAGGGAUUUAGGGGGGGGGGGGGGGUUGACCGAAGUGCACGGUUUUUUGCAAAAUUUUUUAGAUUUCCCGUCACAUCGAAUCUUUAGACGCAUGCAUGGAGUAUUAAAUAUAGAUAAAAAUAAAAAUUAAUUACACAGUUUAGUUGGAGUUGACGAGACGGAUUUUUUGAGCCUAGUUAGUCCAUGAUUGCACAAUAUUUGUCAAAUACAAACGAAAGUGCUACAGUGUCGAUUUUCCAAAAAUUGCCUCAACAUGAACAUGUAGGCAAAGGUUAAGAAAGUAGUAUAUUAACAACAACUUGAGUUUUUUUUACUUUUUUAUGGAACCAAAUUACUACUGACUUUUGCAGGAUGAGUUUAGACGUCUUUGUCACAAAUUCUUUUUUGGAAAAAAUGUUUCUGUCCAUUUCCUAGCAGCGGAAUCGGUGCCAUUUGGCGGAUAAGGGUGAAGAUGCUCAUGCUAGAAAAAAAUAUAUCUAGUGGAAUCUUGUCAGUGUCAGCCAAAGCAAACCUUUAACAUUUCCACGGCAUCCUUACUUGCCAGUGGAAAACAAAUGCAAAACAACAACAACUGAAAUAUAUAUUUAGGUCCACUUGAGAUUAGCAAUAAGUAUGCUACUAAUAGGGCUGGGGACUGGGGAGUGCAGCCCUAUUAUUUUUGCUAGUUUCAGUCAAAUUUUAAGAGAAAUGUGAGCAUUCCUAAACAGAGUGCUAGUUUAAAGGCAUUAUAACUACUCAUCCUGCCAACAGCUUAUUCGCCAUACUCUGUUUGUGUGUGUUUAGUGGCCGUGGGAGGUACGCACAUCUUCUUCUUGCUGUGAGAAUACUGUAGCUUUUCACAUCGAGUACAAAUGUACAAUAUGUUCUCUUUUUAGUUGAAUUUCCCUUUUCUCUUUUUGUUAGCAUCGUGCAUGGAAAAUUGUUGAGAUCAGACACUUCAAAGAAUUUGAUGGUUUGUCUCAAAUGUAGAGACUUUAAAGUAUGUUUUUUCACAUCAUCUCCUGCAUUUGUAGGCGCCUGAAAUCAGCCUUGAUUUUCAUGCCAUGCCUUCCUAUAUAUACACAGCAACUUAGGAUUUAGGGGGGGAUUAAGGGGAUUGUGGAUCAUAGCCUUAGGCUAGUCUCAAUGUAUGUUUCAUGAGAGUGUCAUGCAUAUUAAAUAGGGUGCCACAUAAGUAAAAUUGUUGACUUGGCAGAGUCAUUAAAUGAAGGAGUUUUAUUAGAUGAGAGGGGAGUUUCAUCCCAAUGAAACUCAUGUGACUCGAUUACCUAGUUUAUAAUCUUGGUAACUGUGCCAUAAAACUAUACAUGAGACUGGCCUACAAAAGGGUUAAAGGGAGGCAGGCUUAUCCGACGAAGGAGGCGGCUUGCCAGGGGCGGCGGUGAGGGUGCCACUCUCACCAUCAUUUGUCGUUGGUGGUCAAAAGACAACCGGUGGGCAGAGAAUAGGUAGGGUGCACAGAGUCUAAGGCAAUGACAAAGCUAGUUAGUGCGGCGGAGGUGGCAGCAGCGGACCUAGCGCCGGCAACACCGGGGAUGGGUGGUGGAGGGCGGGAGGCGAGGGAACGUACACGGAAGAAAGAAAGAGGUAAGAAGCAUCUAUGACUCAUGAGGGAGCAAUCUGGCUUGAGAAAGAAGAAAAAAGCGAGCUAUUAAAUCUUGACCAUAUGACUCAUAUUCAUCGUCUGAUAAAACCUUUAAUCAGGCAUAUGAAUUUUAGCAACUUUGAACCGGUGAAAUGGAAGGUCAAAAACCGAGUUCUUUAUUGAAGGUUCUAAUCUAGAUGGAAUUGAUAUAUGUAACGUAAGUUUUGUUCUAGGAUUUGGUUAGGGAUAAGAGUAGUUGCGCUCAUAGCAGUAAAAUAGUAGAUGUUUUUCUAAAGGCACUAACAUUAAUAUGUAAAGAAAGUCUGGUGGGACAUAAAUAUUUCCAACGAGUAAACCUACUUUCUUCAUAUAGAAUUUAGAUGUCGUUUUAGACAAAGUUUGAGUCAAAUAUUGAGAAUAUAAAUCAUCAAUAACUUUUAAGUUAUUGAGUUUGCAAAUAUAAAAAUUAUAUAAAUAGAUUUGUCUUGAAAAAUACUUUUAUAUAAGUAUAAAUAUAUUAUUUUUUUUAAAUAUUUUUAUAAAAAUAAGAGGUCAAAGUAGUGUGUUUUGGAUAUCUUAUCACUAUUCUAAACGACUUGUCCGUAGAAAGUGCCUCCUACUUUGACCAGGAAGAAAAUUAAAGCGGCAAAUCGGUGGCCAUUGUGUGUCCGUAGCCGUACGCCACUUUCUGCACCCACUUGCCACAAAUGGACAUGCAGCAAAGCAAAAAAAAAGUACUCAGGCCUUGUUUAGUUUCGAAAAGUGAAAAAUUUCGGUACUGUAGCACUUUCGUUUGUUUGUGACAAAUAUUAUCCAAUCAUAGACUAACUAGGAUCAAAAGAUUCGUCUCGUGAAUUAAUUAGUUUUUGUUUUUGUCUAUAUUUAAUAUUUUAUGCAUUUGCCACAAGAUUCAAUGUGACGGAGAAUCUUGAAAACUUUUUGGUUUUUAGGUUGAACUAAACUAGGCCUCAUAUGCUUCCAUCGAUGCGUCAACCACUAAUCAUACGCACGAUAACAGGACACGAGAUUGCUAAAUGAUGGCAGCAGGUUGACGUGACGCCCCGCCCUCUCCCUUGUUGCUUGGCACAAAUUUAGGCCAAUAAAAAUAGGAGUAGGUAUCCAAAAUUCCAAAUCGAAAAUGAUGACCCUGAUUUGGGGGGCUAUUGUGGAGAAGUUGCUCUAAGGUUGUUAAAAUUGUUAUUCCUAAUCGAAUUAGAACUUAAUGGCAGGAUCAGAAAUCAUACUACUAGACUGUAUCUAACAAAAUCACAGAAUUAACCCAACAAACUAAGAUCACACGGGCAUGAACACACGAGAUAAUAACCAUGACUCCCAGCUGCCGCUGGCCAAAACUACCGGUGGAUCGAGGGAACAGGGAAGGCAUAUCCAAGGGCACUCAUGGUGAGAUGAGAGCUACUCUGCAAAUGGGUACCUUAAUUUUUUUUAUUGAACAAUGGGUACCUUAAUUCCAUGGGCACUAUGAAGGAUAUGACUAUGAACUCCUCUCAUUUCUAUGUCAGCCAGCCCUGAUUCGAAGCUAUAUAGACCAAAGCAAUUAUUCCUCUUCCUGCUAAGCUAAUAGAGAGAGAUUCGAUAUAAUACUAGCUAGCUAAUUCCAAGAGCGAAGUUACCUGACGACGGCGGCGGCGGCAACUGCCAUGUCGCGAGGAAGCCGUCCCAGACGAGUUGCUGGUAGUUGCUAGCGUUCACCUCGCCAGACAUUCCAAGAACCGGCACCAUGGCAGCGGUGCAGCCUUCCAAAGAGUAGCUGCCUUCUGACGACUCGUCGGAACCCCCACCGUCGUCGGCGGCGGCACGAACAAACGUGUUGUUGUGGGCCUGGUGGCACACCGUCUCCACGAGGUCCACACCAGGCGACGACGGCGACGGCGGCGGCGGCGGCUUGUCGCAGUUGUAGAAGAUGAGGUUCUGAUUGACGGAGCUGAUCGAGAAGGGACGAACAAGACGGGACGAGGUCUUGGCCGGGAAGGCGCGGCAUCUUCCACGGCUACUUGUAUUGAAAUACGCAGGCCAGUGUCUGUCGGCGACGAGCAAGGACUGGUUGUGGUAGAAGAUGCUGAGGAUCUGCAUGUCCUGCUCGCUCUGAAAGGAUCCGAGGUAGGCGACGUUGCUGUCACUGCAACUGACCUCGAACCCGAUCUCGGCGCCGCAGUCGGUCUGCGCGGCGCCGUCCGGGAUGAGCCCGAACGGGAAGGAGAUGGUCACGUUGCCGCAUAGCUGUGGAGGACAGUGAUCUCCGCCUUGCCCAUCUGAUGCCACCCACACCGACGACGAGACUAGUAGGAAGAGCAGCAACGAGGAUGGAACCAGCUGAGCCAUGGCGGAAAGCUUCGAAGAUGGCGCCUUGCGCAGGACGAACACAGAAGGGUGAUUAUAUAUAUUGUUGAACCGCUCACACUCUGGCCUCAUCACAGGCGCACACACACACACAGAGGUGUGGCUGACUAAAUAGUGAAGGUGAUCAGUCCGCGUCGUCGUGUCGUGUGGCUGAGCUAGUGAGUAAUAAAUAUAAAUAGACGCAAAAACUUUGACUGAGGGGCAUUCGGGCCGUCGUCGUGGACACACGGAACUUCCGAGGUGCCCAUACGGGCCACGGCGACGACUGACGUGACCGCGAAUGCGCGCUCCAUCCCACACGGAGCCUGCAUCCUGCCGGCCGGCCAACGAGCUCCUCUCACUUUUUUUUGCCAAACAUAUACACCAAGCCACCAAAAUCUAUUCUUAUUUAUAGAUUUUCAUCUGGCACUAACACGAUGGGCCGGCCCGAACACGACACUAAAAAGUACGAUCCAGGUACGGCACGCCCGAUAGUAGUGCCGUGCCUGGACCGCAACUUCGGCCCGCAGUGUCUGUACGGGCACGGUACGGUUAAUAGGCUGACACGACGCUGGCAUGAUUAUUUUCAUCGUCUGAUGCUUUGAUGAUAGAUCAUGACCAUUGAAUGUAUUUUGAGCCAUGUAUACAAACAUCACAUAACCCUUCCAAACCCUAACUCCCUAGUCGGCGGCGCAGACACAUCCUUGCUGCGGCCACUCUUUCUCCCGCCUGACUAUACGAGAGCGGUGGCGCUCGUCUUUUUCUUGAGGCAGGGCGUAGUGAGCUUCUCGACUUCUCCCGAAGCCAUGGGCUGACACGGCCACGAUGGGCCACCGUGCCUAUCGGCACGGCACGGCACGGUUGCCUAAGCGGAGAGUUUGGCACGAUGACCUGAGACGGCACGGCACGAUAGACAUAGUAUCGCAUAAUGUCAUAUAGUGCCAGGGCCGGACCGCCGGUUUGGUUAAGUAUAUUCUUAUUCGUACGUACGGCCGGGGAGACGAGCUAGCAGAUUUUGGAAGUGGUCGACGCAGUAAUAUAAUGCUCCGGGAUAUGGUUUUGGGCUUGUAGUUCCAACCUGAAUGUGUUUGCAAAACUUACCAAAGUAACUACAGCCUAGCGUGCUUUUUUUUAACGGAACUCAACUGCUCAUGACUUUGUGUAAAGGACAGCAAAAGCUUUGCCAUAAUUUUUUACUAAACGGAGAAAAAAGCAAACAAACUAGCUACUUAACCAAGCGUUUCAGUCUUGGUUGAUGUCAUCCUUGCACAAACUAGAAAGGUAGAAAUAGCUACUUGCCGGAUUGUGCCAGCAUACUUUUUACUUGCGGGUGAUUGUCACGGUCAGCCAAAGCAACAGCUCCAAGAUUUUGUCGACAAACUUUACUUGCAAGUGCGCCAAGAGAAGUUACCUGGUAGUGGCGGCGGCAACGGCGGCAGUGGCAGCGGCGGCGGCGGCCAUGUUGCGAGGAAGCCAUCCCUGACGAGUUGCUCGUAGUCGCUAGCGUUCACCUUCUUGCCAGACACCCCGAGCACCGGUACCAUGGUAAAGUUGCAGCCCUCCAAUAAGUAGCUGCCUGCUGACUCGUCGGAACGCCCAUCGGCAGCACGAACAUAGGUGUUGUUGUGGCACACCGUCUCCACGAGCCCUGCGCCUUGCGGCGGCGGCUUGGUGCAGUUGUAGAAGAUGAGGUUCUGAUUGGCGGGACUAUUCGAGAGCGGAGGAGCAAGUACGGGGAUGGUGUCGGCCGUCGGGAUUCGGCACCCACCGCUGCUAGAGCUAGUAUUGAAAUAUGGAUGCCAGUAUCUACGCGGAGCGAUGUGCAAGGAGCGGUUGUCGUAAAAUAUGCUGAGGAUCUGCAGACUGAUAUCGCUCUGAGAGUAUUCGAGGUAUAGGGAGCUAUUGUUAUAGCAAUGGACCUUGAACCCAAUCCCGAUAUCGCCGCAGCUGGUCUGAUUAUCCAGGAUGAGCCCAAACGGGAAGGAGACGGUCACGUUGCCACAUAGCACGGGCGGACAGUGCUCUCCUCCUGGCCCAGGUGCUGCUGCCACAGGCUGUAUCAUCAGUGGUAAGGACGACAAGGCCACCCACACCGACGACGAGACUAGGAAGAGCAGCAGCGAGGAUGGAACCAGCAGAGCCAUGGCGGAAAGCUUCGACGACGGCAUUAGCAGGACGAACAGAACAGGAACAGGUGUGGCUGAGUAAAUAGUGAAGCUGAGUCCGCGCGUCGUGUGUGCCUGCGUAGUAGACCUCGGAAGACUUUGACUGGGGCAUUCGGGCCGUCGUCGUCAUCGGUGCACGGAAUUCCGAGGUGCCCGAUGGGCGGGGCAAGGCGACGACGACGACUGACGUGACCGUGGACACGCGCUCCCACAGUAUAAGCAGGCACGCUCCUGCCGCCCGGCCAACGAGCUCCUCUCACUUUUGCCGGCCAAAGUGAGACUAGCUAGGCAGACAUUUGGAAAUGGUCGUCGCAUUCACAAUGCUCUAUAUAGAUAUGAUUUUGGCUUGUUUGCAAAAGCUACCAAAGUAACAACAGCCUAGCUAGAGUACGUGUUUUUUUUAACGGAACUCAUAUACUCCUGAUUUUGCACGGUUAAUUUAUGUCGAUGCGUGGUUAUUCCACAAACAAAACCUAACUCUAUUUGAGCGAUCGUUCAUCGUUCACUCGAUUUGGAUUUGGUGAAUGAUUAGACCGCGACUUCACUGCCCGCGCGCUUUUUUAUUGCUGUGACGUCACUGCUCACACAGGCUAUAAAAAGCAAAAUAUUUAUUUUAAAAUAUUAUAACUUCUAAACUGUGUAUUUAUUUUUAUUCCGUCUACAUCAGACGCGACGAGACGAACAAACUAGACGUCAUUCGUAUAUUCAAAGAAUAUUUUCUAGUAGCAAUUUAUAUGUAUUAACUUAUAAUAUAUAAGUUAUAACUUACAACUUCAUGUGCACGGCGGUGAUGGUGACGGCUGGCUGGAGCCGGGCACAGGCAGCGGCCUGGUGGAGUAGGGUGUGGGCACUGGCAAGGUAGCAGGGGGCGGGCUUCGUGUACCAGAACGGUGGCGUAGGAGAGGUCGCCGAUGUAUAGCACUAUGUCGCGCGAAAGGAGAAUGCUCAUUGGCGUGGCGGAGAGAAAAUGCAUUAGGGAUUUAGGGGGGGGGGGGUUGACCGAAGUGCACGGUUUUUUGCGCGUUUAGGAUGAUUUUUCUAAGUGACAAAAGAUUAGGACACAGAAUUGUAAAUUGUUGGAGAUGGUUUUUUCUAACCUCAAAAAAAAAUUUAGAUUUAGAGAUGCUCUAAGGGCAAGUAUAUUGCUACACGUCAACAGCCUCAUAUUUCGUCUCAUGCAGUACCAAAUUAAGACCCAAUAGAAAGUGUGGACCGAUCUAGCAUGAAAUGUGAAAUUGACAAAUUGCGUUUUGCCAGAUGGAUUCUUUAGAAAGAUUCACCAAUUUAAUGUAAACGAGUUCACCCCGACUCCAGAAAGAAAGAACAAUCUAGAAGCACAACGGAGGCUGAAGAUUCGAGAGAGAGUGAAUUGAUUAUGGUACGAAGCUAGGGUAGGAUUUUUGCUAACGUGGAGGAAAGAGAGAUGAAAGAGAGAAAAAGAUAUUGUUUUGCGAAACAACAACCUCAUGAACUAAAUUUAGGACUAUAAGAAGUUUAACACACCAAUGUACAAGUGCUUGUUGUCAUGCAACUGACAAAUAUUCUAUUAUUGUAUCUAUAAAUUAAGGACUCUAGAAUUACUACAAGAUAACUUAAAAACAAUCCUUUUACUUGUUAUUUCUUGAGUCUAUCUCAUAAUUACGUGGCACUGCAUGAGACUAUGGAGACAGUAUCAACGUAGGAUCAUCACUGGGAGAGGCAGCGGCUGCUGCGAAGGGCAUAUCCCAGCCAAAAAUUAAGCAGGAUUCCUCUCGUUCCUCUCAUAUUUCUAAUCUCCUCGGUUCUUUAUGUAUUGGUACUGAUGUCUGGAUGGGAAUGGUAGUACAACAGUGUUGCAACUCAUGGUGUGGUCCGAAUAGCUGAUUCACUUAGUUUUUUUUUCUCGAAUGCGCAAAAAAUUUGUGUAUCAUUGCAUUUAAGAAAAAGAAGUUUAUCAUACAAACGACGCGCAUCAAGCGCGCUAGGUGGUCUAACAUCUGGACCAACCUAGCAAACUGUUCCUAGCUUCAAUAUUACAUAAAUGGAACAACCAACAUGCCUACAUCGCAAUGUACUACGAGGCUUUCGCGAAGAGCUCCUUAGAGACCCGGUUGAACUCUGAGAACAACGCGUCAAGAGCAUCCACUUGGCUCAAUGUCAAGUUUCCACUUCCAAUGUUGUCGAGUGUUACCUUGGGCAUAGGUGAAAUCAGAGCUAUCGUCGGCAUGAUACCCAACCUCUCCUUGAGGAGUGCCUCGCCUCGCUUGGAGGCCGGUAUGUGUGCCAAUGGUUAGGUGGCAAUCCGUCUACUCUUGGCCCUGGCUGGUAGGGCCCUCAUGGUUGCCGCCUUUUGCCGUGGUGGAGAGGCGAGCAAGGGCGGCCCUCGCCUGACCUGCACCUCAUUCACAAACCGUGCGAGACGUCGAGCGAUCUCGCCCGACAUGGGUGACGCGUCACUAGGGCCAGGGGUAUCUGGCCAUGCGUCCUUCAUCGGCGUAGAAGGGUUAGGUGAGCGGCAACCACCCCGUGUUGACGCAGGAUCUGCAACGUGCGUCGCCUCAUCCACGAUAACGCUAGGUGCCGUCUAAGGAGGCAUGCCCUGCACAAGCGACGAUGGAGGCAGAUCAGUCAUGUCCUGAGCAACCGUUACCGGAGAACUGGUGUCCAAUAGAGGUCGAGCCUCCUGAUGUGAGACGAUGAACUCCUCUUGCAUUGGGUCAAUCCACGUUGGUGGCACCGAGUCCGCACGUGACUCCAACACUAGCGGAUCUAGCUCGGGGCAGUCAGCAUCAAUGGUAGGGGCAGUGCUAUCGUAGCCACUAGCUAUGAUGAUCCACGUCGUCGGCAUACUUUGAUGGCAUCAGCAGCAACAUCAAUGGUGUCAGUGGCAGCGGGCACAACUGACAUCCCCCAUGGCCUUGUGAGCCGCCCCAUCCUCAUUGCAUGAUGCCUAGAUGGCUAGAGGGUCGUGGCAUGUUAGGUUGGCACCCAUCGUCACCGUCUUCGCAAACCUUGGCCGCUUGCAAUCCCUGGCGAGAUGAUAGUAGUCGUGGCAGCGUAGGCAACGUCAUGGCAACCGGUAAGUUACGACACGAUGUGAGUAGGAGAGACAGUUAAAGCAUCUAUCGUGGAGCUCUGGGCGGAUCUGUUGGGCCUAUAGGAGCUGCUUAUGGUGAAGCUCAACUGCUGCGGUCGCAGGUUGUGUCUCCUGUCGUGGUAGGAUCUCUCGCCACCCACUGGCACCGAAGGCGGAGACCCUACUGUGGCGACCAAGGCAUUGACAGGCAGGGAUACAGCCAUCCAAUGACCGAGCAAGAAGGUUGUGCACCAGCUGGGGGCGUGGUCGGCCGCAUCCCUUUCGCCUUUGCCAAGGUCCAUGUCAUCCAACGUCCACCACGUCGCGGCUCCGAAACCCCAGACGAGUUCGAGCGCGUGGCAAGGAUAGAUGAGCCAGCGUAGCCAAUGUGUCCCAAUGAACAGCAUCGAGGUAGGGGGUCAUGGAGGUGGCAUCCUCAUCGGAGUCAUCAUCCACCCAACGACGUGCCUUGGAGCGACCCGCCACGCUACCUCCAGGAUGGAAGGGGUGGCAUGGGGGAAAGGGUGGACAACAUGCUCGCAGCGGGGGCAGAGCCAACAAGGAUGGCGUUGAGUUAAGAGGCAGCGGGGACGAGCAGGGGGCGGGGGAGUGCGGGCCGGGGGGUGAGCACAAGGAGAGAGGGAGGGGAGGGGCGGCGAAGGAGAUGAAGGGAUAGGGUUGAGAUGCUCUAAAUUUUCAUUCCGGGGAGGAAGCCGACACCGCCGCCGGUAGCGGCGUAGGGGCAAACCGGGGGCAAGGUCGGGGUCGAGGGUUGAGAUGCUCCGAAUUUUCAUUCCCAAAACUCCGUUGAUUCGCUUAGUUACUUCUUUGCUAUCGUGCUGCUGAUGAUUGGUUUUCUCUUUACUGUAAAUAAUAAGCUUCAUCUUAUAUGUCAAUUAUGUGUAAAAUAUGGUGGUUGACAUAAUUUUUGCUUUGUCACUAAACAACUUAGCCUGCUAUAGUUCUAAUUAGCCUUUGGGAAAAGCUGCCGCUAAGAGGCUUGCGCCCGCCGGCUAUUUUGAACAUUGCAGAAAAGGAAGUUACUAUUGAAAUUAUUUGAGAAUUUGCAAGAAUUCCUAAAUAUGAGGCUGCUAUGUGUAUGCGUGUUUUUUUUUGUGCAGUUGUAGAAGAUGAGGUUCUGAUUGGCGGCGGCGGCGGCUUUGUGCAGUUGUAGAAGAUGAGGUUCUGAUUGGCGGGACUAUUCGAGAGCGGAGGAGCAAGUACGGGGAUGGUGUCGGCCGUCGGGAUUCGGCACCCACCGCUGCUAGAGCUAGUAUUGAAAUAUGGAUGCCAGUAUCUACGCGGAAGAAUGUGCAAGGAGCGGUUGUCGUAAAAUAUGCUGCGGAUCUGCAUACUGAUAUCGAUCUGAGAGUAUUCGAGGUAUAGGGAGCUAUUGUUGUAGCAACGAACCUUGGACCCAAUCCCGACGUCGCUGCAGUUGGUCUGAUCGGCGCCAUCCGGGAUGAGCCCAAACGGGAAGGAGAUGGUCACGUUGCCGCAUAGCUGUGGACGAUGACAGUGCUCUCCUCCUUGCCCAUCUGAUGCUACCACAGGCUGUAUCAUCAGUGGUAAGGAUAAGGCCACCAACACCGGCGACGAGACUAGCAAGAGCAGCAACAAGGACGGAGCCAUAAGA